rnacentral:lncRNA from 1 species
UUAAAUAUUAUUUUGAGGGAAAUGGAUGACACAAAGUUUUUUCUUGAUUACCUGCAGAGGAGAAGAAAGUAAAGAGCACCAAAGUGGAAGCAAAAGUUAAAAAGGAAGUGAAGGAUGGAAAAGGAGAAGCAAAGAUGCCUGAGAAGGUCAAGCAGACAGAAACUAAAACAACAGAAGUUGGGUUAAUAAAGGCCAAACCGAAAGUUAAGGAGGAGAAAGCACUUCAGACUGUAACUAAAUCGGAAAAGAAAGAUCAAUAUGCAUUCUGUCGCUAUGUGAUUGACAUGUUUGCGCAAGGGGAUUUUUAUCCAGGACAUAAGGGAAUGGUAUCACCUCGUCUUCUUCUAGAACAUAGUCCAAGAAAGAAAACAGCAGCUAUUGAAGAAGAGAAGUCUAUUGUGGUAGCUAAGGAAGUGAAAAAAAGAAAGGAUGAAAAGAAAAGGACUGAUAUAAAGAGGUCUGUUACUGAAACUAAGAAGAAAGAAAAAGAAGGAAAAAAAGAGAAAGCUCAUGAGAAGACAGCUGUCCCUGAAAUUAAAAAAGCAGAUAAAAAAGAAGCUGCUGUGUCCAAAGAACUCAAAAAGCCAGCAAAAUACCCUGCAGCUAAUCCAUCCACCAAAAAAGCAGUAAUACCAGAUAUGCGCUGUAUGGGCACUGUCCCCAUGGAAAGCCCACUCUCCCUGUUUCUUGCCUCCAGCCUUCAGCUGCUUCCAUUACAUGUGGC